UACGUAGGGUGCAAGCGUUGUCCGGAAUUAUUGGGCGUAAAGAGCUCGUAGGCGGUCUGUUGCGUCCGCUGUGAAAACUCGGGGCUUAACCCCGAGCCUGCAGUGGAUACGGGCAGGCUAGAGUUCGGUAGGGGAGACUGGAAUUCCUGGUGUAGCGGUGAAAUGCGCAGAUAUCAGGAGGAACACCGGUGGCGAAGGCGGGUCUCUGGGCCGAUACUGACGCUGAGGAGCGAAAGCGUGGGGAGCGAACAGG
rnacentral:rRNA from 1 species